UUAAUGGCAUUUAUUAAUCCCUAAGUUGUCUUUCUUUUCUGCAGAAACGAAGCCCCUAAAUCUUCCACUUCCUACCCCUAACUUUGCUCAGUUAUUGAGGGGACACAAACUCAUUCUGAGGAGAUCAAAAGGCAAAGAUACCUCCAGGAGAUAUCUGGAAAGGAGCUUUAACUAUGAGCAUCCCACCAAGUUGCCUCAUUUUUGCAUGUGGAGCUUAUUCCACAGAAUUUGAUGGAACUGUGACAGUUGCCUGCAUAUUUGAAGAACAGGGAUUUUACUAAAUGAAGGAUGUCAAUGCAGUUGCUCUAGCAGAUAAUUAUGCUUCAUGAACACUGGAUUCCAAUUAGAGAAGAACAAGUCCCUGGCAAUAGCCUCCUUAUACAGUGAAUUAAAAAGACAACUAAUUGGCAAAUGUGGUGCCAAAUAUGGAGGAAAAAGAGAAAGGGAAAAGGUGUUGUGUCAUCUGAGAGCCUCUUUGUCACCUCCAGCUGGGAACAGUGUCUUUUGCCUGCUGCCAGUGUGCUGCAACCCAGCACUAGAAGAUAAAGAUUGACAGAGAGGUAAUUUAUUGGCAGCAUGUCCCCAAUCAGGCCUUCAGUGAAAUAUCUCUCAGAGCCAAGUUGCCUAAAUUCCUCUGUCUACAUGGACGGUUCCUGCUCUUUCCAGAACUGAUGCUGUCUGGGGGGGUGCUGUGAAGCACCCUGAGCCUCCCAGGUCUUUAUGCUGAGAAUGACAAUGAUUUAAUGAAGAGGUGCAAAUGGAUGCAUGAGUGGAAAGGGGUGAGGAGUGUAACUAUUUCUGGAUUGCUACAGAGGAGCGCCAGAGAGAGAAUGUGCAAUGAGCUUGGGAAGGCUGCUCCUCUGCAGCUGCUGCUUAGAGGUUUGAUGCCUGUCCCUGGGCACACUAGGGAAUAAGCCAACCAUCUGAUAACAGUGGCAUCUAACAUGUGCCUUGCCUGGGGAUAGCAUCUAUCCACAAAAGGCACAAGAAAAACAUCAGUUUGUGAUGUAUCACUCAAGUUUUUUAAGUCAUUGAACAAUAAUCAGCAGUGAUUCAAAGGCUGGUUUUGACAGUUUUCUAGAAUUAUGCCAUACUUUUCCCAUCUCAUAUAUAUAAAAGUGUGUGUAUAUAUAUAUAUAUAUGUAGUAGAUACAUUAGUAUGACAUGCAUUCUAUAUUAUAAUUUAGUGUAUGUGCACAUUAUUAUAUACAUAACACAUGCAAACACACAUUAGCAGUCUUGUUAAAAAUACGUACAGCCUUUUUAUUUAUAAAGAAUGGAGAGUAUAAUCAAAUGUCAGACCCUGAAAAACCACAUGCCAAGGGAAUGCCACGUAGUCUGCCAUCCCUGUUCUAUGGCAGGUGGCUUUGAGGGACUACCAGAAGAACCUCAUGACAGUGAAUAAAGCUGACUGUACAAAUUGUGAGUUUUCUUCC
rnacentral:lncRNA from 1 species